AUAAGCUCUACCCAGUCACCCAGGCCCUCAAUCACACUCUCAGUCCCCUGUUGAAAAAUCUAAAAUUGUUAUAGACUAGUCGACGAUCCAUGCCUUGAGCCAAGGUCUUGAACAUACACUGAGGAAGUAAGACUUUCUCUACCAGGGGCAAGAGUCAGGACAAGUCAUGCAGAACUGUUAUGGGCCAGUGGAUGGGGGCUGUGUCGAAAGAGCAAGGAACAGGGGCAGACAAACAAGCUCUGCCUACGCUUGGGUAACGCUUGGGUAACUUCCCUUGUUUAUGACACCAACCUACAGUGUGGAGGACAGCUUCUAGCUGGCCCCUGGGAAACGCAACUCCAGGAUCUUGACCUUUGCCAAUCAUUGGCUGAUGGUGGCAGAAGCACACCUCCUCCUUUUUUUUAAUGUGAAGAUGUGUGCAGCAAACCACAGAUGGAGGGAGCAGGAAGAAAUGGGGCCGUUUCUAAAGAAAUUAGAUGCCGGAGGAGAAGAAGGUUCUAAGUCCCAUGGAGCUGAAGUUCCAGCUGUUGAGAGCUCCCCAAAGAGGCUGCUAGGAAUGGAACUCCAGUCCUCUGGAAGAACAAGUGCUUUAAACCAUUAAGCAUCUCUCCGACUGCAGGAACUGUUUGAAACCUUUGCAGUGGCCAAGGUAGAUUAUCCAAUUGUUUGUUUGUACGUCAGGCUUUAUUGAACUAUGCCCUGGAAAGGGUGACAUCUGCUGCGUAUAAAUGACAUACUGAUUUUGUUUUUUUCCGUAA